AAACCACUAUUUGUAGAUUCCCUCUAUAUAGAGUCCACUCGAUCACACUUCAAAUCAAUUUGCCUCACUAUAACCAAACAAAAGAAGACCAUGUUAUUGAAAACAACUUCACUCUAUACUCUAUAGACACAUACACUACUUUACAUUUUAAAAAAUCAAAAUAAACCAUAUCAUCAUAUAUAACUCCAUAUCAUCCUAUCCAUUCUUCACAUUCUGCCAACUCCUUUACCAUGUGCCAUCAUCUCU